GAUGAAGAACGCAGCGAAAUGCGAUACGUAAUGUGAAUUGCAGAAUUCAGUGAAUCAUCGAGUCUUUGAACGCACAUUGCGCCCCCUGGUAUUCCGGGGGGCAUGCCUGUCCGAGCGUCAUUGCUGCCCUCAAGCACGGCUUGUGUGUUGGGCCUCCGUCCUCCUCCCGGGGGACGGGCCCGAAAGGCAGCGGCGGCACCGCGUCCGGUCCUCGAGCGUAUGGGGCUUCGUCACCCGCUCUUGUAGGCCCGGCCGGCGCUUGCCGACACAUCAAUCUUUCCAGGUUGACCUCGGAUCAGGUAGGGAUACCCGCUGAACUUAAGCAUAUCAAUAAGCGGAGGA
rnacentral:misc_RNA from 1 species